rnacentral:tmRNA from 1 species
GGGGGCGACCUGGUUUCGACGGGGAUCAUUUUAGCCGGAGCUGCAUGCCGAGGUCCCAUCACCUCGUAAAAAGGUGGAUUAAAAAUAGUCGCCAAUGACUAUGAUUAUGCCCUGGCUGCUUAAUUGACAGCCAGCGUCCACCCGGUUCUUCUCUGCGGGGCCGGAAUGGGCGUCAAAAAAGCAGGGCGGCUUUCCUCGGCGUGCUCGGAACUGAGGAAAGCGGGACUUUUCUGAGCAAAUCCUUAGGAGAUCCCAUCCGCCGGAGAUUCUGAGGAUUAUAAAAGGCGGAUUAAGCAUGUAGACGCUUCGGUGAAAGUUCUUCGGACGCGGGUUCGAUUCCCGCCGCCUCCACCA